CGUUUAAGCUUUCUACUUCCAUCUUCCUCUGCUUCUUACCACUCCUCUUAUCCGGAGAGCGCUUUCUCAAGCAUUUAAGGACAUCUCAGUGCCAGCUGCUCAGGAGCCCAACUUAAGACCACUGGCUUCAGAGGUGAAUUUAAGAAGGCUACCAUGAGGUUGGGAUUCUGGAGCUGGCUCACUUCCUGUCUGGAUGGCAAUGAGGACCCCAGAGCUGAAGGAGAGACCUGAUUUCCCUACGAUGGGCUUUCAUCGAGUAUGUGGACGAUUCAUACACACCAGCAAGAGUUCUGCACGUUAGACUAUCUCAGAUCAUCAAGUAACACCAGAAGGUCGCUGACAGCUCCACACGUCAUGCCUGGUCCAGGCCCCCCGUGCCUCCGCCGCCGAUAGUGCCCAUUGGGCAUCUGCCAGCUGUGCCGCAGGGGCGGGGCUGAGCCGAUGGUGUUGGACCGGCCGAGGCUGGUCGCCACAGCUGCUUCAAAGGUGAGCGUCUCCUCCUCGCCACAGUCCGAGGCGUGGGAGUCUUCGUGCAGGGCCAGGUAGGGCUCAGAGAUGUAGCGCUGUGGGGAGGAGGGGUGGCCCUGCUGUACGUACCGGGGGUCGCAAGACUCGGGCAGGCUGGCGUCAUUGCCCUCCAGAGCUUGGGAGGUCAGUGGGGAGCCACCCUCGCUCCCAUCAGCAGGUGGGGAGAUGCUCCCAGUGUGUCUCAUCAGGGAGCUGUAGGAAAGGAGGGGCCGAGGCUUUGGAGGGACAGGUGGGAGCUGCCGACGACUUCGUCUUGGGGUGCUGGUGUCGGAGACGGAGGGGAUGGAGCUUUCACUGAGGGACCCUGUGCCCUGUGCGGCAGGAAAAACAUGGCAUGUUAGCCUGGGUUUGGCAUCAUUCCUACUUGGGACCCGGUUAAGGUCCCUAACCCCUCCUACAGAGAGCCACCAGAGUCCCCUCUGCUACCAGUCACAUCCGCUCAGGGACGCAGAGAUUACAGGAGACUCAGGAGCCAGUACCAUGGAGACCAGGCUCACAGGUGCUGCCGGUCCUUGGAACAAACACGUUGAGUAGCAAAGAUCCGGAAGCUCACUCUCUCUAGCACGUGGCACGUUGAAAGAAAGAUCUGAAGCUUCUGGGAAAGACAACUACAUGAAAGCGGGUCUCACUACUGAAGCAGAAGCCUUGAGGUCCCAGUAAUGUGCACUUAUAACAAGCCCUAGGUGACUCCGUUCUGCACUAAAACUCGACACCACUGCUCUAGAAGUAAACUUCUCAACUGCGUCUGAAAGUUGGCUGUGGAAGCCCUUCCUCUUGCCCACUGCUCACUGCCGAUGGGUCUCACAUCUGGACUCCGAGAGUAUUGGAGCAAGAGGCUCAGCUUCCUCUCCAUGCUCACCGGUCUGUUGGGGGUCUGCGACCUGCACUCGCUGGGAGACCGGGACUGAUGACGUUCUGGGGACUCCCAGUCGGCCUGGGUCCCUCGCUCCUCGGAGUUGCAGCGGGAGACAUCGGGAGAGAGAAGAUGCUUUCGCUCUUUCGAUCGUCCCCGCUCUCUGCCCCCUGAGCGGUGGGUGUCAGACUUGUGCCCUAUGAGAGAUGACAGAAGCAACUAUCGUAACUCUGCCCAUCCUGGCCGCUGAACACAAAGAUAAGUCUUACAGCUUGGGACCAGGCCCCUCAAGGACCCUGGCUUCUGCAGACAUGUCAACAGGUGAUCUGAAAGGGAAGAAGGAGAGAAAGACUGGAAAAUUACCCUUUUGUGAAGAGUUCUCAUCAGAAAAGAGGCAAACGGUGAAGACUCCCUCACCUGAGUCAGAGUUCAGGCGGUGGGCUGACAGCCUCAGGGAGGAGUGGUAACUCCGGCGACGCGACUUGUAGGUGUUUUCGCUGCUUCGCUCCAUGGAGAAUUCCUCCAGCCAAGAGGAAUUUGAACGCUUUUCCCGAAUAGUGGAAAAUGAACGUCUCAUGGAGCUAGGGUCUGUCACCACCUGGAAACAUGAGCCCCCCAGAAGAACACAAGACCUUAGCUGGAGGAGGCUGUUCCAGAAAGUGUCUUUACGUUAACAUAGUCACUGGGCUGGUGCAGAGCUCCUCUUCACGCUCAGGAAAGCAAGGAGCUGAGGGUCCUGUGCAAGCUGCCCAUAGAACCAUCUACCCUGGAGACCCAGCCAGGACCUGCCGUGAACCUGGAGCCGCUUUGAAACAAGUGAGGGCAACUGUCAAAAAGUCUCCACCACGAAAGAAGCAUGGCCUUGCCGCUUGUUUUUUGCCCUCCUCAGAGAAGGCGCCACCCUAUAGCGCUAGAGCUUAGGAGAGCUUGUAAAUGAGUAGCUCCUGAGAAUGCACUGCGCUCUCUCGAUCAGUCCCACCCCAGCUCCACCUUAAACUCUGGCAUUUUGACUUGCCACAGAUGUUAAAACAGAUCCACAAAAACUUCUUGUCUCUGUCAAAACUUGAUGUAAGACAGACAGACAGAAAAAAGCCAGGAAAACAGACAAAGAAAUGAGGCGUGGCCUGCACUGGUUAGGACAGACAGUCCUGACACAGAGCUGUGUGUGUACGUAACUGCAUAUGCGCUAGAGGAACCAGGAAAGGAGAAAAGAAGGAAAAAUGCACAGGGGAAAUCCUGGAAGAUAUUUCUUGCAUGGCUGGUUGGGUCUUGAGGAUGUUGAGCCCAUCCGGGGGCCUGCCCUUUGGCUGGCUAGGCUGUUGUGGUUAGGGUUUCAUUGGAAACACAGUGUGGAGGAGCAGGCUCUGUAGAGAAAGCCCAUGAGCCAGGUUUUGCUUAUAGAGAAGGGGUGGGGGCAAAUCAAGGGCUCACCUGAAAAUAUCAGAUGUGUGUUCAUAACCCACCAAUUCAAUACAGCCCAGGAUGCCACUGCAUAUGGUAGGUGGUGGUUGCGUUUUACCUGGGGAUCCACAGUCAGGCGUGGCAUAGAGGAUGCCCUCCCAGAUCCCGCAUGCUCCUGGGUGUCCGAAGGAAUGUAGAUGCCAUGGUUAGAGGGCUGCACGCUUUUUAAUUCACUAACCUCUGGCUCCUAGAAAUAAACACACAGCCAAGCUUGUGGGACUUGAUUCCAUCCCAUUGCUUCUCACUUCCGGGGGAUGAUUCUGCCUCCUCCAUGUGAAGAGCGGCUUUCAGAAGAGGCACUUGCAUCUCUAAGGUCUCAGUUGUACGUGUAUAUAUGUUUGUGUCUGUGUGUGCACAUAUGUGGUAUACCAGAUGUCCCAAACAGAAAGCUCUAACUAGGAUUGAGGGAUAAGGAUCACCUUUUCUAGUUAGUUAUCACUGAGCAAUGCUUCAGAUUUUAUAGCUUUGUGAAAUUUACCUUCUGCAUGUUGACAGUAUGGGGUUUAUUCUUGUAAUCUGAAGAAGCCAUUUGUCAAUUAAACAGAAGCCACUAUUUUAAGGAAAGUCACCAACUUCUGGUGUCAGGUUUAUCUUCUGAAACCUUAAGACACGUGAUUUUAAGAGCUUUCUUAUGAUUGAAACCAUCCAAUAAUGGGGGUGGGUAGCCAUCUUUCAGGAAUGCUUUGGACUAGUGCAGUCUAAUAGAAAUUUAAUGCAAACCACUUAUGUCAUUUAAAAUUUCCUAGUAAUUACAUUUUAAAAAGUAAAAAGAAACAUGAAAUUUAAUAAUAGAUUUUAUGUAACCCAAUAUAUCCAAAUAUUCUCAUGGCAACAUGUAAUCAAUAUAAAAAAUUAACGAGAUAUUUUACAUUUUUAGGUACCAAGUCUUUGACAUUGGUAUGUAUUUUACACCUAUGGCGCAUCUCAAUUUGGACUAGUCACAUUUCAGGUGCUCAAUUACCGUAUGUGGGCAGUGGCUACUGUAUUGGACUAUGAGAGCACUCGAGAGCUUUAAGAAGGUUGGAUGGGAGAUCUUUAGGGUCGUGCCCAAAUCAAUCAUUUAAUUUUCCUGGUUAAAGAAUGUUAGUUUGGCAAAUGUACGUGCUCUGUAUAGACAGCUAGUGUUCAUUGCGCAAAGAGUAGAGCUGCUUUAAAAAUGUUUACGUGGGCCACCCAACAAAGAGACCUAGGAAUAUCUUAGACAUCUGGAGAUUAUACCAGAAAAAAAGCAUUUUACAUUUAGGAAAUGAAACCUAAAAACAUGGGUUUAUGAGUAGGGUAUUAUUAAAGGAAAGGGGGCCUGAGACACCCCCUUGGCCUCAAUGACCAUUUGGCUGAGCGGUUCCUGGUAUGAACAGGAGGACUGCCUUCACAGGAUAUGAUGUGUGCACCUGAAGAAGUUACAGUGUUUGUUUGCAGUAUGUGCUUUAUAUAGCACCCAGGUCUGACUCAAAACAGAUGUGACAACACUGCAGUCUACGUGGUAACAACAACUGCAGCCAACGGGUAUCAGAGGUGGUGCAAGACACGCCCACACACACAAAUCAUGGCCAUGUCCCAGGACGUUGAGCAGGGAGCCCCAAAGGAUGGGCAGGAGUACACAGUGGUGGGUGUAUAGCAUGGGCUGACACCUGAAUUGAAUUACAGACACCAGUAUUGACAAUGAGAUGAACAUAUAUCCAAGAAGUCCUGGCACUACAGCUCAGCCCUGGGAAACCUGCAGAAAGGGUGAUGUAAUAAAGCCUCCCUGUGAAAGAAAGGACACGUCAUUGAGAUUUUUCUCACCAGACAGACACAUCACCAGGCAGGCCAUAAAAUGAUGAGAGGCCCUUUUUAGAAUUAAACUAUCUGUACCAAUUAGUCCCUUUUCCCCCCUGAAGGGUACCCAUUCCAUCAGACAUGCCCUCCACAAGCAGGCCACACCCACACUCCGCCCACACAUCCAUUCAGGAAGGCGCUGGGGUACACUAACAGUGGGGAGGGGUCAGGGAAAAAAAUGAAGGGGAGAGAAGAACACAGGUGAAUUAGAAUCAAAGUGACAUGGGACUCACUUAAUACAAGCUGUCUAUAUAGACUACUGCAAAGGUUGGGUUUUACUCUUUUUCUUUCCAGACCAAUAACCACCUGGAUUUUAAUUCUAAGCUCCAGAGGGAACUUGAUCUCAUGGCUCCUGAGCUAAUAGUAAAGUCCAUCAUCUCUGGGAGUCCCAUUUUAGCUUUGUAUUAUCAAAAUCUAAAGUUCCAUCUGUCAUCCAUUGGUGCCAUCCAUUCUUAUGAUGAUUCAUUCUAAGGCUCCCUCUCAAAGGCAAGAUUUCAUCUGUCACUUCUGCUUCUCCAUUUGAUGCCCAGGGGCGUAAAUUAAGAGGGCUUGGCCUGAAGCACUGUAAGUUCCUGAAGCAGGUAAGGAGCCUCUGGGAUUGUAAAACCUGAAGAGGGAGCAUUUGUCAAAGAACAUGAGAAACUCAGCUAUGAAAGGCGAGACGGCAGGAAACUUUCAGGGUAAUUGGUUGGACUAUCAGAAAGGUUUUUUUUCUGAUGGAGCAAGGCUAUGGAAUAAAAUUUGAAAAUGAGAGGGGGAGGGAUCAGGAAACCAAGGAAGUAUUUUUGAGGUCAUGUAACUCAUUCAUUCACCAGAGAUUGCUGUUCCUGGAAUUGUCCAUCAUCAGCUGGGUCCAUACAGGCCAACUGGAAUAUUUCCUGCGGGGAGAGUGGACUCAUCGAAGGGUAUCCACUCCGGCCACCCCUGCAAAGCAAUGCCAAGUUCAGAGGAAGAAUAUGGUUUUAUUGUGCCAACAUCCCUGGCCAAACCAAACAAUUCAAUGCCAUGAACAUUUAUUGAAGGACUGCUCUGUACCAGACACUGCUGGUGUAUGAACUGCAUGGAACGAUUUCAGAAGAGGUGAAAGAGGUGACAACGUCUGGGUCGAUGGCUAUGUGGGAGGAUGCUUCAAUGGUGAUGAGCUGUAAGCUCAAUGGGAGAGGAGCCCUGUCAUGUCCACCACGCUACCUCCAAAGCAAUACUCUACUUGAACAAUUCAGGGCUCUAGAAACACAGAUGGUUCCAAAGAACCAGGCUGCUGCUCCACCAGCAUCUCCGUUUCAGGAAAUGGACCAACAUCCACCUAGAAGCUCAAACCAGAAACCCGAGGGUCAUCUUGGAUUCCUCCCUGUCCUUCACACCAUGUAGCAAAUCAAUCAAUCAAUCACCAAAUCCUCUCCGUUCUGUGUAUUAAUUGCCUCUCAAGUCUGAUUCUCUCUCCCCAUUUCUAUCCUGUUAGUCCAAGCCACAGUCUCACAAUAUUCACAAUUGCAGCCACGUACUAAAUGGUGUUCUAUCUCUCGAACUGCUUCCCUCCAAUCCACGGAGCCCACACUGGAUUAGAGAAUGAUCUUUGGAAAGCCCAAACCUGAUCAUGUCACCCUGAUGAUCGUGUCACCCAUUAUCCUUGGAUGACACUAAACUUCUGUAUCCUGCCUGUAAACUACCUCUGUAUCCCUACAUCCUGGCCCCUCCAAAUCCAUCACCUGCCACGUCCCCUGAUAUCUCUGUGCUCCAACCAUCGUGACAGUUCUUAGGUUCCUUAAACUUACCAUACUUUAUUUCACCUCUUGAAUUGCCUGCUUUUUUGAGUCUCACUCAGAUGUUACUUCCUCAGGGAAGCUUCCUCAAAGCCUCAAACUACGUGAGUUGCCUCCUUUACACAGAGUCACGAUAGCCUACCCUUCCACAUUUUAACCUUUAUCACUCCUCUUGUAAUUUCUUUUUUAAGAACUGUGUCCAUGGGGACUGUGUGAUCAUCUUGACUGAAUCCCCAGUGUCUGAGCCAGUUUUUGGGUCACACCGACUCUCAGUAAAUACUGGUCAAAUCAAUGAGUGAAUGAAUUAAUAAACAUAUGGGACAGAGGCUGGAAUAGUCCAAUGAUGGGAGUUAAUUUGCACAGCAAAUUGUUGUGGCUAAAACAGAUCUAGAUGGUGGAGGGUGUCCUCUAUUUCUAAGCCAAAGAAGACCCUUGAAAAACACUGUAAACUCUUCCAAGGAGGUAGUCCUAGUACUCUAAUCAUACCUCCUGACCACCUUCCUGCACAGACCAAAGAUAAACAUGUACUUGUUUUUUUGUAGACAGGAGAAUCCAUACCUGCUACUUUAACACCUCACAUGUUUUGUAAAAAUGACCGACGGCCUUGGUCGUUUUUUUUUCUUUUCCAAAUGCGUUGGAUUGUGACCUUUGAAAACAAUGCUUUUCAAAAACAGGUCUCCAACACCACAGGCAGAAAGAAAUUUAUGGCGUGAGAGAUUCCAAAUGGUAUUCUGACUGAGGGCUCAUUCCUAAGCCUGGGAUUUCACUCCUCUGACAAUUACUGAAGUUGUGAUAUUUAGUGAUUUACUGGUUCCACGAGAGCUAGACUGGAAAAAAGUCACUAAUCAUAACCAACGACAGCAAGCCAUUUACGCUGGGUAGAGGGACCAUUUGGGUACAUCACUGGUGAUGAGAGAAAGAAAGCAUUAAAAUGAAGUAUGUAUAUUACAUUAGAUCCUUUAUGGCUAAUGACCACAUUGGGGCUAAGGCUUACAACUCGGAAGAAUUGGCACAUGCCUUAAUUAGGGUUUCGUUUCCACUUUCAAUAUAGAAAAUUAACAAAAAAUUGUUUUGCCUGAUUUAAGGUUCUUUUUGUUCAUUACAGAUAACACAGUGUAAUGGGAAGACUCUGGGCUUGGAAAUAACUGACUUAAAUUCCAAUUCAGCUUCCUACCAGCCAUAUGGCUUUGGGCCACUUAGUGAACCUCUCUGAGUUCACUCUAAAGUCAUGAUACUAAUACAGCCCCUUACUUCCUUUGUCCAUUCACAGUGCUCCCUGUCUCUGGAGCUGGCCAUAGCACCAAACACGCUCAGUCUGCUUUUCCAUUACCCCUGCUGAAUAACCAUCUUAAGAUACAACAUGUUGUCUUCUCACCCUCAGAGAGGGGACCAUCCAUGCAUCUCAGCGUUAGUAUUAGCUCGGGCACUUCCAGGCAAUGAGUUUCUGGAUCUGCCCGAUGGCACACGUGAUAAUGCAAUCAGGGGAGUCAUGGACCCUCUGGUAAUACUCACAGGCCUGAAACGGGGUCCUGCUGGAGAUAAGGCAGGGCUUUGGCAUUAGCAAUGAUCUCCUGAGGCAGAGAUGACGGCUCCAUCCGCUGGAACAUGGGUGCGUUUUUCUGUGUUCAAAGUGGAAAGGAGGAAAAAGGAACUCAAAUGACUGUGGGGGGAAAAUACCAUUUGAGUAAAACAGGAAUAUGACUGAUACCCUGUUUGACUAUCUGAACCUCUGCCCCACUGGUUUUCUAAUCCCUUGAUCCUAGGGAGGUUCCCGGACCCUGCAAAGCAAAGCCUGACCUCUGCUUCUAAGCACUUGCAGGGCACUGUGCCCCAGGGAUGCACAGGCCUGUCCCUUCAGGGGCCCACCCAGCCACCACGCUGUCCUUGACCUUCACCUGUUCCUCCAGCUGCUGCCUCUGCUUCUUCACCUUGCUCUGUUUAUAGUAGUCCAUGAUCAUCAUUGCUGCAUAGAUUUUGCCCACAGUCAGGUCAGAGGCUGAAGACACGAGUGUGGCAUGGAGGGGAACAGGGAGAAGACACGGGGCGGGGGGGGGAAAGUGAGGACACCUAGGAAGCAGGUUUGCCCCUUCGGCCACCCACCCAUCCAACAUUUAUUGAGGGUUCCAUCUGUGCCAGGCACUGAGGCUACAGAGUGAACAGGUCCCCAUGUCUAGCCUCAGGGAGCUUCCACGGCCACCCAGGGAGGCUGAUGUUACCAAUGAUGUGCAACACAUCAGUAAGCACCUCCCCACCCCCAGAAUGGUCUAGGUUUCCAUCUCUUAGUAACACCACCUUUUCCCCAACGGCUUGAAGGUUUGCUGAACUGUGUUAUGUGGAAGGACAGAGCUACGUAGCCAAGAAGUUUCAUCCACAACCACAGUGACCUAUCUUAAGAAACUGUUCUCCAGUGUGGAGGCUCCUCAGAAAACUGAAACUAGAACUACCAUGUGAUCCGGCAAUCCUACUCCUGGGCAUAUAUCCAGACAAAACUCUAAUUCAAAAAGAU